rnacentral:rRNA from 1 species
AUUGAACGCUGGCGGCAGGCUUAACACAUGCAAGUCGAGCGGGGUGAUGGUACUUGUACUAUCACUUAGCGGCGGACGGGUGAGUAAUGCUUAGGAAUCUGCCUAUUAGUGGGGGACAACAUCUCGAAAGGGAUGCUAAUACCGCAUACGUCCUACGGGAGAAAGCAGGGGAUCACUUGUGACCUUGCGCUAAUAGAUGAGCCUAAGUCGGAUUAGCUAGUUGGUGGGGUAAAGGCCUACCAAGGCGACGAUCUGUAGCGGGUCUGAGAGGAUGAUCCGCCCCACUGGAACUGAGACACGGUCCAGACUCCUACGGGAGGCAGCAGUGGGGAAUAUUGCACAAUGGGCGCAAGCCUGAUGCAGCCAUGCCGCGUGUAUGAAGAAGGCCUUCGGGUUGUAAAGUACUUUCAGCGGGGAGGAAGGCGAUGUGGUUAAUAACCGCGUCGAUUGACGUUACCCGCAGAAGAAGCACCGGCUAACUCCGUGCCAGCCGCCGCAGUAA